rnacentral:rRNA from 1 species
UACGGGAGGGGCAAGCGUUGUUCGGAAUUACUGGGCGUAAAGGGCUCGUAGGCGGCCCACUAAGUCAGACGUGAAAUCCCUCGGCUUAACCGGGGAACUGCGUCUGAUACUGGAGGGCUUGAGUUUGGGAGAGGGAUGCGGAAUUCCAGGUGUAGCGGUGAAAUGCGUAGAUAUCUGGAGGAACACCGGUGGCGAAGGCGGCAUCCUGGACCAACACUGACGCUGAGGAGCGAAAGCCAGGGGAGCAAACGGG